GACAGAGGGUGCAAGCGUUGUUCGGAAUUACUGGGCGUAAAGGGCGCGUAGGCGGUCCGCUAAGUUCGGCGUGAAAUCCCCUGGCUCAACUGGGGAACGGCGCUGGAUACUGGUGGACUCGAGUACCGGAGAGGAGAGUGGAGUUCCUGGUGUAGCGGUGAAAUGCGUAGAUAUCAGGAGGAACACCGGUGGCGAAGGCGGCUCUCUGGACGGAUACUGACGCUGAGGCGCGAAAGCGUGGGGAUCAAACAGG
rnacentral:rRNA from 1 species